GGGGCUGCAGAUCAAGCGGGUGUGGAUCGAGGAGGACCGAGAUCUGACAAGGAGCCAGUGCGGCUCGACUAUCAGAGAAGGUCAGGGGUUCGAAUCCCCUCAGCUCCACCA
rnacentral:tRNA from 1 species